CUGUAAGCCGUUGAAGGUGUGCUGUGAGGCAUGCUGGAGGUAUCAGAAGUGCGAAUGCUGACAUAAGUAACGAUAAAGCGGGUGAAAAGCCCGCUCGCCGGAAGACCAAGGGUUCCUGUCCAACGUUAAUCGGGGCAGGGUGAGUCGACCCCUAAGGCGAGGCCGAAAGGCGUAGUCGAUGGGAAACAGGUUAAUAUUCCUGUACUUGGUGUUACUGCGAAGGGGGGACGGAGAAGGCUAUGUCAGCCGGGCGACGGUUGUCCCGGUUUAAGCAUGUAGGCGGAGGUUCCAGGUAAAUCCGGUACCUUAUUAACGCUGAGGUGUGAUGACGAGGCACUACGGUGCUGAAGUGAUAAAUGCCCUGCUUCCAGGAAAAGCCUCUAAGCAUCAGGUAACACGAAAUCGUAC
rnacentral:rRNA from 1 species